rnacentral:rRNA from 1 species
UGUCUCCUACGGGGCGCAGCAGUGAGGAAUAUUGGUCAAUGGGCGGAAGCCUGAACCAGCCAAGUCGCGUGAGGGAAUAAGGCCCUACGGGUCGUAAACCUCUUUUGCCGGGGAGCAAGGGCGGGGACGUGUCCCGGCCCGGAGAGUACCCGGAGAAAAAGCAUCGGCUAACUCCGUGCCAGCAGCCGCGGUAAUACGGAGGAUGCGAGCGUUAUCCGGAUUUACUGGGUGUAAAGGGAGCGUAGACGGCGGAACAAGUCAGAAGUGAAAACCCGGGGCUCAACCCUGGGAGUGCUUUUGACACU